AGUGAACGCUGGCGGUAGGCCUAACACAUGCAAGUCGAACGGCAGCACAGUAAGAGCUUGCUCUUACGGGUGGCGAGUGGCGGACGGGUGAGGAAUACAUCGGAAUCUACUUUUUCGUGGGGGAUAACGUAGGGAAACUUACGCUAAUACCGCAUACGACCUACGGGUGAAAGCAGGGGAUCUUCGGACCUUGCGCGAUUGAAUGAGCCGAUGUCGGAUUAGCUAGUUGGCGGGGUAAAGGCCCACCAAGGCGACGAUCCGUAGCUGGUCUGAGAGGAUGAUCAGCCACACUGGAACUGAGACACGGUCCAGACUCCUACGGGAGGCAGCAGUGGGGAAUAUUGGACAAUGGGCGCAAGCCUGAUCCAGCCAUACCGCGGGGGUGAAGAAGGCCUUCGGGUUGUAAAGCCCUUUCGUUGGGAAAGAAAAGCAGCAGGUUAAUACCCCGCUGUUCUGACGGUACCCAAAGAAUAAGCACCGGCUAACUUCGU
rnacentral:rRNA from 1 species